rnacentral:rRNA from 1 species
UACGUAGGGGGCAAGCGUUGUCCGGAAUUAUUGGGCGUAAAGCGCGCGCAGGCGGUCUUUUAAGUUUGGGGUCUAAUCCCGGGGCUCAACCCCGGGCCGCCCUGAAAACUGGGAGGCUAUGAGUGUAGGAGAGGAAAGUGGAAUUCCACGUGUAGCGGUGAAAUGCGUAGAGAUGUGGAGGAACACCAGUGGCGAAGGCGACUUUCUGGCCUAUAACUGACGCUGAGGCGCGAAAGCGUGGGGAGCAAACAGG